rnacentral:rRNA from 1 species
UACGGGGGGAGCAAGCGUUGUUCGGAUUUACUGGGCGUAAAGGGCGCGUAGGCGGUCAGCACAAGUCAGUUGUGAAAUCUCCGGGCUUAACCCGGAAAGGUCAACUGAUACUGUGCGACUAGAGUGCAGAAGGGGCAACUGGAAUUCUCGGUGUAGCGGUGAAAUGCGUAGAUAUCGAGAGGAACACCUGCGGCGAAGGCGGGUUGCUGGGCUGACACUGACGCUGAUGCGCGAAAGCCAGGGGAGCGAACGGG